CGAGGCCCGUUACCGCCGCGACCUCAACCACUUGAAGCAGCUAAAAAAGGAUCUCAAAUUAUUGCAAAUGUUUAAUUGUUUGAAUGAAAAGCUCAUCCUCUUGCAAGAAAUAGUCAAUGAGAGUUUGAACCUACUGCGGAUGGACACGUGUUACUACCAUUACCUCAGCACUGUGAGAUUUUUCCAAUGGCUUCCGGAGCGAAUCCCACUUCCGUGUCGUAGAAUUAUGUGCCGCCCUUCACCAUAUCGGCAAGUAAGGCGGUGCUGUACCCGAUCCUGCAGGGAUUACUUGUUGUGAAUGGUUCCUCAAAGAAUAUCUUUACUGCUGGCAAGGCUCUACCCAAUGCACUGCUCACUAAUUUUAUCUGAAUGCAACAGGGAUCCUGAUUCAGACUAAUUCAACUAUUCUUUGAAGAAGCAGAGGAAAGAUGCUAAAAACUAUUCACGUUUGGGCACCACCUGCUGAUGCAAACCAGUAACACAAGGAGCAUGUCUUGCAGAGCUUAUUAUAAAAAUGUCUUAAAUACAAAGUCAAAUAUAACUGUGAUAUUUUGAAGUGUGAAAUAAAGCAGAAAGUAGGUUCAGCAUCAUCAGUCGUCAGUUAACUCUGUUGAUGACCAAGUUCCAAUCAAGCAAAGGCAUCGGGAUCUUGUGACAUUCCCAAUGAUGACUGGGGCGGGCAUUUUAUAUGUCUGUGAAAGAAUCAGGUGUGUACAUGUGCUCAACAUAAUGGCAAUCAAUAGCACACACUGAAAACAGAGUGGUGAUAACUAGGUCAUUUUCAGGUUGACACACUACAAUGACCAAAGUUUGCCCUCACCAAAUGAGGAUGAUGAUACUUUAUUGUCACUUGUACCUAGCUAGGUGCAGUGAAAUUCUUUGUUUUUGCACACAAAGUUCACAAAAGAGUCGCCACAAAGAAGCCGGCAAAUUUACAAAAUGUACUCAUCCCUUCUUCGUCCCCCCCACCCUCCACGCCAGGUCUCCCUUUGUU